GACGAGCUCUCCAAACGUUAUUCGGUAUCACUGGGCUUAAAGAGUUCGUAGGCGGUCCCGUAGGUGAGGUGUGAAAUCCCUCGGCUCAACCGAGGAAUUGCGCUUCAAACCGUGGGACUUGAGGGAGACAGAGGUAAGCGGAACAGAUGGUGGAGCGGUGAAAUGCGUUGAUAUCAUCUGGAACACCGGUGGCGAAGGCGGCUUACUGGGUCUUUUCUGACGCUGAGGAACGAAAGCUAGGGUAGCGAACGGG
rnacentral:rRNA from 1 species